UUUGCUUCUAUAUGGAUAACUGUGCUAAUUGUAGAGCUAAUACAUGCGUCAAAGCCCGACUUCACGGAAGGGUUGUAUUUAUUAGAUACAGAACCAAUCCCGCAAGGGUCUUUGGAUGAUUCACAAUAAAUGAAUGAAGCGCAUGGCUCCGGCCGGCGCUGUAUCAUUCGAGUUUCUGACCUAUCAGUUGGUCGGUGGGGUAUUGGCCCACCGUGACAGUGACGGGUAACGGAGAAUUAGGGUUCGAUUCCGGAGAGGGAGCCCGAGAAACGGCUACCACAUCUAAGGAAGGCAGCAGGCGCGCAAAUUAUCCCCUGGCAACACUUUGCCGAGAUAGUGACAAUAAAUAACAAUGCAGGGCUCUUACGGGUCUUGCAAUUGGAAUGAGUACAAUUUAAAUCCCUUAACGAGGAUCAAUUGGAGGGCAAGUCUGGUGCCAGCAGCCGCGGUAAUUCCAGCUCCAAUAGCGUAUAUUAAAAUUGUUGCCGUUAAAAAGCUCGUAGUCGAACUUCGGGCUCUGUCAGCCGGUCCGCCUUCUUGGUGUGUACUUGUUUGACGGAGCCUUACCUCCUGGUGAACGGCGAUGUCCUUUACUGGGUGUCGUCGCAAACCAGGACUUUUACUUUGAAAAAAUUAGAGUGUUCAAAGCAGGCCUUUGCCCGAAUACAUUAGCAUGGAAUAAUAAAAUAGGACGCGCGUUCCCAUUUUGUUGGUUUCUGAGAUCGCCGUAAUGAUUAAUAGGGAUAGUUGGGGGCAUUUGUAUUCCGUCGUCAGAGGUGAAAUUCUUGGAUUGCCGGAAGACAAACUACUGCGAAAGCAUUUGCCAAUGAUGUUUUCAUUGAUCAAGAACGAAGGAAGGGGGAUCGAAAACGAUUAGAUACCGUUGUAGUCUCUUCUGUAAACUAUGCCAAUUGGGGAUCGGUACAGGAUUUUUAAUGACUGUAUCGGCACCCGAAGAGAAAUCUUUAAAUGAGGUUCGGGGGGGAGUAUGGUCGCAAGGCUGAAACUUAAAGGAAUUGACGGAAGGGCACCACCAGGGGUGGAGCCUGCGGCUUAAUUUGACUCAACACGGGGAAACUCACCAGGUCCAGACACAAUAAGGAUUGACAGAUUGAUAGCUCUUUCUUGAUCUUGUGGUUGGUGGUGCAUGGCCGUUCUUAGUUGGUGGAGUGAUUUGUCUGGUUAAUUCCGAUAACGAACGAGACCUUAACCUGCUAAAUAGACCAGCCGGCUUUGGCUAGCUGCUGUCUUCUUAGAGGGACUAUCAGCGUUUAGCUGAUGGAAGUUUGAGGCAAUAACAGGUCUGUGAUGCCCUUAGAUGUUCUGGGCUGCACGCGCGCUACACUGAUGCGUUCAACGAGUAUAUAACCUGAGCCGGUAGGCCUGGGUAAUCUUUUGAAAGCGCAUCGUGAUGGGGCUAGAUUAUUGUAAUUAUUAAUCUUCAACGAGGAAUUCCUAGUAAGCGCAAGUCAUCAGCUUGCACUGAUUACGUCCCUGCCCUUUGUACACACCGCCCGUCGCUGCUACCGAUUGGACGUUCCGGUGAAUUGUUCAGACGGGCUUAGAUGGUGGUUCCCAUCGUCUUCGCCUGAAAGUUCCGUGAAC
rnacentral:rRNA from 1 species